GACGGGGGGGGCAAGUGUUCUUCGGAAUGACUGGGCGGAAAGGGCACGUAGGCGGUGAAUCGGGUUGAAAGUGAAAGUCGCCAAAAAGUGGCGGAAUGCUCUCGAAAUCAAUUCACUUGAGUGAGACAGAGGAGAGUGGAAUUUCGUGUGUAGGGGUGAAAUCCGUAGAUCUACGAAGGAACGCCAAAAGCGAAGGCAGCUCUCUGGGUCCCUACCGACGCUGGGGUGCGAAAGCAUGGGGAGCGAACAGG
rnacentral:rRNA from 1 species